UUUUUNNNUAACUUUUCAUGGCGGGCUCCCUGCACUUUGGUGUGGCCAACCGUCAUGGGGUAGUCUCUUCACUCUCCCUCCUGUCAAUUAAUCUUUGUUGGGUUGGGAUGUUGCUGUUGGUUGCUUGCGUUGUUCUACCCAUGUUGGUAGCAAUACUUGGACCCUAUCUUUAUUUUAUUGCUCUUCUGUUGAUAGUGUUCUGUCAAUAGGGCAGCCGAGGUAUCGACAAAAACUCCUUCCGUUGCAAAGCUUGAAUAUAGCAAGCCAAGGCACUGCGUUGGAAUGUUUGUCCGGUUUCAUGGAUGUUGUGGCUAUUUUGUGAGCUCUGUUGGUUCCUUGAUCCUCAGGCUUAGUGAUGGCCCCAUGUAUGUAUGUAUCAUUGCUCUUGCGCUCAAUUAAAGUGUUUUGCUUGUAUUGAUGCGUGCGGGGAAUGUUCAUGUGCAUGUGGAAUGGCUGUCUUAUUCGAAUGACUUGUGAUUGCCGGUUCAUGUUGUUAGAUGUGCCUUCCUGCUUUGGUCGGUGCUUUUUGCAGCGUGUGUUGGCUUUCGCUUAAGAUGUGC
rnacentral:misc_RNA from 1 species